UACGUAGGGUGCGAGCGUUAAUCGGAAUUACUGGGCGUAAAGCGUGCGCAGGCGGUUUUGUAAGACAGAUGUGAAAUCCCCGGGCUUAACCUGGGAACUGCGUUUGUGACUGCAAGACUUGAGUGCAGCAGAGGGGGGUGGAAUUCCACGUGUAGCAGUGAAAUGCGUAGAGAUGUGGAGGAACACCGAUGGCGAAGGCAGCCCCCUGGGUUGACACUGACGCUCAUGCACGAAAGCGUGGGUAGCAAACAGG
rnacentral:rRNA from 1 species